CCUGUGUUGCUUACCCGUGGAAAGGAAUUCGAUGGCUUUGGUGUCCCCAUCCMCCUUGCACCCCCAAAAGGUGCGGGGCGGACGUGAGGYAGGCUCUAUGUUCCUCGCGUGCCGGGUGCAUUGGCGCUCGGCCGCUGUGGCCCAUGGGGUCUCGGCCCGUUCUCUCGGAUGCGGAAUGUUGUGUGUGCGGGCGUGGGGGUCUCGACCUCUUCUCGUCCGAGUGGCACUUCGCAUUGUCCCUUGAUGCAGAYGACUGCCUCGCCCGUCUUGACCGACCGAUCGGGUCCCCGUCGCGGGAUUCGGGAAGGGCGGCUCAUGCGGGAGCUGGCGUCGGAUAGGAAUGC
rnacentral:misc_RNA from 1 species